CAGGUGGUGGCCUCUGGAAAUAAAGACUAGCGGUCUGAUAUAAUCUUUACAUUGUUAUUCUGAUAUUGGGUGAACACUGUUUACAUGCUGAGGAUAGCAGCUUCCUUUAGCAUUUGACAAACGAUACCAUCAUGCGCGAGUACAAGCUCGUGGUUCUUGGUUCUGGAGGUGUUGGGAAGUCCGCACUGACGGUGCAGUUUGG